rnacentral:rRNA from 1 species
AGAGUUUGAUCCUGGCUCAGGACGAACGCUGGCGGCGCGCCUAACACAUGCAAGUCGAACGAGCCGAGGGGAGCUUGCUCCCCAGAGCUAGUGGCGGACGGGUGAGUAACACGUGAGCAACCUGCCUUUCAGAGGGGGAUAACGUUUGGAAACGAACGCUAAUACCGCAUAACAUACCGGGACCGCAUGAUUCUGGUAUCAAAGGAGCAAUCCGCUGAAAGAUGGGCUCGCGUCCGAUUAGCUAGUUGGCGGGGUAACGGCCCACCAAGGCGACGAUCGGUAGCCGGACUGAGAGGUUGAUCGGCCACAUUGGGACUGAGACACGGCCCAGACUCCUACGGGAGGCAGCAGUGGGGGAUAUUGCACAAUGGAGGAAACUCUGAUGCAGCGACGCCGCGUGAGGGAAGACGGUCUUCGGAUUGUAAACCUCUGUCUUUGGGGACGAUAAUGACGGUACCCAAGGAGGAAGCUCCGGCUAACUACGUGCCAGCAGCCGCGGUAAUACGUAGGGAGCGAGCGUUGUCCGGAAUUACUGGGUGUAAAGGGAGCGUAGGCGGGGUCUCAAGUCGAAUGUUAAAUCUACCGGCUCAACUGGUAGCUGCGUUCGAAACUGGGGCUCUUGAGUGAAGUAGAGGCAGGCGGAAUUCCUAGUGUAGCGGUGAAAUGCGUAGAUAUUAGGAGGAACACCAGUGGCGAAGGCGGCCUGCUGGGCUUUUACUGACGCUGAGGCUCGAAAGCGUGGGGAGCAAACAGGAUUAGAUACCCUGGUAGUCCACGCCGUAAACGAUGAUUACUAGGUGUGGGGGACUGACCCCUUCCGUGCCGGAGUUAACACAAUAAGUAAUCCACCUGGGGAGUACGACCGCAAGGUUGAAACUCAAAGGAAUUGACGGGGGCCCGCACAAGCAGUGGAUUAUGUGGUUUAAUUCGAAGCAACGCGAAGAACCUUACCAGGUCUUGACAUCGAGUGACGGCUCUAGAGAUAGAGCUUUCCUUCGGGACACAAAGACAGGUGGUGCAUGGUUGUCGUCAGCUCGUGUCGUGAGAUGUUGGGUUAAGUCCCGCAACGAGCGCAACCCUUAUUAUUAGUUGCUACAUUCAGUUGAGCACUCUAAUGAGACUGCCGUUGACAAAACGGAGGAAGGUGGGGAUGACGUCAAAUCAUCAUGCCCCUUAUGACCUGGGCUACACACGUAAUACAAUGGCGAUCAACAGAGGGAAGCAAGACCGCGAGGUGGAGCAAACCCCUAAAAGUCGUCUCAGUUCGGAUUGCAGGCUGCAACUCGCCUGCAUGAAGUCGGAAUUGCUAGUAAUCGCGGAUCAGCAUGCCGCGGUGAAUACGUUCCCGGGCCUUGUACACACCGCCCGUCACACCAUGGGAGUCGGUAACACCCGAAGUCAGUAGCCUAACCGCAAAGAGGGCGCUGCCGAAGGUGGGAUUGAUGACUGGGGUGAAGUCGUAACAAGGUAGCCGUAUCGGAAGGUGCGGCUG